GGUUGCAAGAUUAAAACUCAAAGGAAUUGAUGGGGACCCGCACACGCCGUGGAGCAUGUGGUUUAAUUCGAUGUAACGCGAAAAACCUUACCACUCCUUGACAUGGAAAUUAUACCUAUUCGAAG
rnacentral:rRNA from 1 species